GAGUUUGAUCCUGGCUCAGGACGAACGCUGGCGGCACGCCUAACACAUGCAAGUCGAACGGUGAAGGGGGAGCUUGCUCCUCCGGAACAGUGGCGGACGGGUGAGUAACACGUGAGCAACCUGCCUUUCAGAGGGGGACAACAGUUGGAAACGACUGCUAAUACCGCAUAACGUAUUUUGGCGGCAUCGCCGGAAUACCAAAGGAGCAAUCCGCUGAAAGAUGGGCUCGCGUCUGAUUAGAUAGUUGGUGAGGUAACGGCUCACCAAGUCGACGAUCAGUAGCCGGACUGAGAGGUUGAACGGCCACAUUGGGACUGAGACACGGCCCAGACUCCUACGGGAGGCAGCAGUGGGGGAUAUUGGACAAUGGGGGAAACCCUGAUCCAGCGAUGCCGCGUGAGGGAAGAAGGUUUUCGGAUUGUAAACCUCUGUGGAGGGGGACGAUAAUGACGGUACCCCUUUAGGAAGCCACGGCUAACUACGUGCCAGCAGCCGCGGUAAUACGUAGGUGGCGAGCGUUGUCCGGAAUUACUGGGUGUAAAGGGAGUGUAGGCGGGAAAGCAAGUCAGAAGUGAAAACUAUGGGCUUAACCCAUAGCCUGCUUUUGAAACUG
rnacentral:rRNA from 1 species